CGUGCUUAACACAUGCAAGUCGAACGAUGAACCCCGCUUGCGGGGGGAUUAGUGGCGAACGGGUGAGUAACACGUGAGUAACCUGCCCUUAACUCUGGGAUAAGCCUUGGAAACGGGGUCUAAUACUGGAUAUUGACUUUUCCUCGCAUGGGGAUUGGUUGAAAGAUUUAUUGGUUUUGGAUGGACUCGCGGCCUAUCAGCUUGUUGGUGAGGUAAUGGCUCACCAAGGCGACGACGGGUAGCCGGCCUGAGAGGGUGACCGGCCACACUGGGACUGAGACACGGCCCAGACUCCUACGGGAGGCAGCAGUGGGGAAUAUUGCACAAUGGGCGAAAGCCUGAUGCAGCGACGCCGCGUGAGGGAUGACGGCCUUCGGGUUGUAAACCUCUUUCAGUAGGGAACAAGGCCAGUGUUUAGCUGGUUGAGGGUACUUGCAGAAGAAGCGCCGGCUAACUACGUGCCAGCAGCCGCGGUAAUACGUAGGGCGCAAGCGUUAUCCGGAAUUAUUGGGCGUAAAGAGCUCGUAGGCGGUUUGUCGCGUCUGCCGUGAAAGUCCGGGGCUCAACCCCGGAUCUGCGGUGGGUACGGGCAGACUAGAGUGAUGUAGGGGAGACUGGAAUUCCUGGUGUAGCGGUGAAAUGCGCAGAUAUCAGGAGGAACACCGAUGGCGAAGGCAGGUCUCUGGGCAUUAACUGACGCUGAGGAGCGAAAGCAUGGGGAGCGAACAGGAUUAGAUACCCUGGUAGUCCAUGCCGUAAACGUUGGGCACUAGGUGUG
rnacentral:rRNA from 1 species